AUGAAGUUUAAAGUAAGACAGACAAAAUAAAGUUUGAGGAAACUAUUUUUUAAAUUGUACAUUUAUCAUGACAGUUUGGGGGUUAAUCUCUGGAACCAGCACAAGGAUGAAUGAGUGAUUUCCUGGGGAGUACAGCACCGAGGUAAUCACCACCGAGGAAAGCGAAAGCAAAAGACGGAGUCAUGGGUUUCAGCCAUAGUCUCGGUUUCACUGGAGCUGUGUCAAGCAGCGAGAUUGUGACCGUGGCCUGUGCCAGCAAGAGAGCCGGAAAGCAGAGGAAAACACUGAACUGCAUUGCUCUAAUAAAACUGUUUUGGAUAAGGUUGGACUACAGUUAAUUUUGACCCUAUCAGUGAAAAAUGUUAAGUAAAUUAUGAGGGUAAACAAGAUUUAUUGUGUUAGAGAACAUAUUCUUUUACAUGAUUAUGGAA
rnacentral:lncRNA from 1 species